AUUGAACGCUGGCGGCAUGCUUUACACAUGCAAGUCGAACGGUAACAGCACUUCGGUGGCUGACGAGUGGCGAACGGGUGAGUAAUACAUCGGAACGUGCCUAGUAGUGGGGGAUAACUACUCGAAAGAGUAGCUAAUACCGCAUGAGAUCUAAGGAUGAAAGCAGGGGACCUUCGUGCCUUGCGCUACUAGAGCGGCUGAUGGCAGAUUAGGUAGUUGGUGGGAUAAAAGCUUACCAAGCCGACGAUCUGUAGCUGGUCUGAGAGGACGACCAGCCACACUGGGACUGAGACACGGCCCAGACUCCUACGGGAGGCAGCAGUGGGGAAUUUUGGACAAUGGGCGCAAGCCUGAUCCAGCAAUGCCGCGUGCAGGAUGAAGGCCUUCGGGUUGUAAACUGCUUUUGUACGGAACGAAAAGCCCUCUUCUAAUACAGGAGGGUCAUGACGGUACCGUAAGAAUAAGCACCGGCUAACUACGUG
rnacentral:rRNA from 1 species